rnacentral:rRNA from 1 species
AGGGGCAAAGGGGCUGCUCCGGAUGUUAGCGGCGGACGGGUGAGUAACACGUGGGUAACCUGCCUGUAAGACUGGGAUAACUCCGGGAAACCGGAGCUAAUACCGGAUAGUUCCUUGAACCGCAUGGUUCAAGGAUGAAAGACGGUUUCGGCUGUCACUUACAGAUGGACCCGCGGCGCAUUAGCUAGUUGGUGGGGUAAUGGCUCACCAAGGCGACGAUGCGUAGCCGACCUGAGAGGGUGAUCGGCCACACUGGGACUGAGACACGGCCCAGACUCCUACGGGAGGCAGCAGUAGGGAAUCUUCCGCAAUGGACGAAAGUCUGACGGAGCAACGCCGCGUGAGUGAUGAAGGUUUUCGGAUCGUAAAGCUCUGUUGUUAGGGAAGAACAAGUGCGAGAGUAACUGCUCGCACCUUGACGGUACCUAACCAGAAAGCCACGGCUAACUACGUGCCAGCAGCCGCGGUAAUACGUAGGUGGCAAGCGUUGUCCGGAAUUAUUGGGCGUAAAGGGCUCGCAGGCGGUUUCUUAAGUCUGAUGUGAAAGCCCCCGGCUCAACCGGGGAGGGUCAUUGGAAACUGGGAAACUUGAGUGCAGAAGAGGAGAGUGGAAUUCCACGUGUAGCGGUGAAAUGCGUAGAGAUGUGGAGGAACACCAGUGGCGAAGGCGACUCUCUGGUCUGUAACUGACGCUGAGGAGCGAAAGCGUGGGGAGCGAACAGGAUUAGAUACCCUGGUAGUCCACGCCGUAAACGAUGAGUGCUAAGUGUUAGGGGGUUUCCGCCCCUUAGUGCUGCAGCUAACGCAUUAAGCACUCCGCCUGGGGAGUACGGUCGCAAGACUGAAACUCAAAGGAAUUGACGGGGGCCCGCACAAGCGGUGGAGCAUGUGGUUUAAUUCGAAGCAACGCGAAGAACCUUACCAGGUCUUGACAUCCUCUGACAACCCUAGAGAUAGGGCUUUCCCUUCGGGGACAGAGUGACAGGUGGUGCAUGGUUGUCGUCAGCUCGUGUCGUGAGAUGUUGGGUUAAGUCCCGCAACGAGCGCAACCCUUGAUCUUAGUUGCCAGCAUUUAGUUGGGCACUCUAAGGUGACUGCCGGUGACAAACCGGAAGGAAGGUGGGGAUGACGUCAAAUCAUCAUGCCCCUUAUGACCUGGGCUACCAACGUGCUACAAUGGAACAGACCAAAGGGUUGCGAGACCGCAAGGGUUAGCCAAUCCCAUAAAUCUGUUCUCAGUUCGGAUCCCAAUUUGGAACUCCACUGCGUGGAAGCUGGAAUCGCUAGUAAUCCCGGAA